rnacentral:rRNA from 1 species
UACGAAGGGGGCUAGCGUUGCUCGGAAUCACUGGGCGUAAAGCGCACGUAGGCGGCUUUCUAAGUCAGGGGUGAAAUCCUGGAGCUCAACUCCAGAACUGCCUUUGAUACUGGAAAGCUUGAGUUCGGGAGAGGUGAGUGGAACUGCGAGUGUAGAGGUGAAAUUCGUAGAUAUUCGCAAGAACACCGGUGGCGAAGGCGGUUCUCUGGGCCUUACCUGACGCUGAGGAGCGAAAGCAUGGGGAGCAAACAGG